GACGAACGCUGGCGGCGUGCUUAACACAUGCAAGUGGAGCGACGAACCAGGGCUUGCCCUGGGGCAGAGCCGCGAACGGGUGAGUAACACGUGGGUAACGUACCCCGAUGACUGGGACAACCCGGGGAAACCCGGGCUAAUACCGGAUGUGCACCCUCACAUCAGUGAGGUGUGUAAAGGAAGCUUCGGCCUCCGCGUUGGGAUCGGCCCGCGGCGCAUUAGCUUGUUGGUGAGGUAACGGCUCACCAAGGCCGCGAUGCGUAGCUGGUCUGAGAGGACGAUCAGCCACACUGGGACUGAGACACGGCCCAGACUCCUACGGGAGGCAGCAGUGGGGAAUCUUGCGCAAUGGGCGAAAGCCUGACGCAGCGACGCCGCGUGAGGGAUGACGGCCUCGG
rnacentral:rRNA from 1 species